rnacentral:rRNA from 1 species
AGUACCGUGAGGGAAUGGUGAAAAGUACCCCGGGAGGGGAGUGAAAGAGUACCUGAAACCAUGUGCUUACAAUCCGUCAGAGCAGUAUCUAGAUGACUGUGAUGGCGUGCCUUUUGAAGAAUGAGCCUGCGAGUUAGCGGUGCGUGGCGAGGUUAACCCGUGUGGGGUAGCCGUAGCGAAAGCGAGUCCGAAUAGGGCGAUUGAGUCGCGUGUCCUAGACCCGAAGCGGAGUGAUCUAGCCAUGGGCAGGGUGAAGCGUGUGUAAGAGCGCGUGGAGGCCCGCACCCACUUCAGUUGAAAAUGGAGGGGAUGACCUGUGGUUAGGGGUGAAAGGCCAAUCAAACUCUGUGAUAGCUGGUUCUCCCCGAAAUGCAUUUAGGUGCAGCGUUGCGUGGUUCUUGCUGGAGGUAGAGCUACUGGAUGGCUGAUGGGCCCUACCGGGUUACUGACGUCAACUAAACUCCGAAUGCCAGUCAAGGUUCAGCGUGGCAGUGAGACAGUGGGGGAUAAGCUUCAUUGUCGAGAGGGAAACAGCCCAGACCAUCAACUAAGGCCCCUAAGCGUGUGCUCAGUGGGAAAGGAUGUUCAGUUGCGAAGACAACCAGGAGGUUGGCUUAGAAGCAGCCACCCUUGAAAGAGUGCGUAAUAGCUCACUGGUCAAGUGAUUGAGCGCCGAUAAUGUAGCGGGGCUAAGUACACCGCCGAAGUUGUGGCAGCACCACAGUAUAGCCGUAAUGGUGUGGUGUUGGGUAGGGGAGCGUCGAGUUGCCGGAGAAGCUGCCGUGUGAACGAGUGGUGGAGGCGAUUCGAGUGAGAAUGCAGGCAUGAGUAGCGAAAGACGGGUGAGAAACCCGUCCACCGGAUGACCAAGGGUUCCAGGGCUAGGCUAAUCCGCCCUGGGUAAGUCGGGACCUAAGGCGAGGCCGACAGGCGUAGUCGAUGGACAACCAGUUGAUAUUCUGGUACCGACACACAACCGACAGUACCAAAACACACGAUACUAACCCCGUGAUGACCCCGUCAGGCCUUCGGGCCUGUGGUUGGGUUUGAGUGGGGGACCUGAGUGUGGAGUCGGUAAGCGUGAGGUGUGACGCAGAAAGGUAGCCAGGCCGUGCGAUGGUAGUCACGGUCUAAGGUUGUAGCACGUGGGGGUAGGUAAAUCCGUCCCCGCAUAGAGUGUGAGAGCUGAUGGGCGCCCCACAUUGGUGGGGUGAUCUGGUGAUCCUCUGCUGCCGAGAAAAGCAUCGACGUGAGGGUGUGUGUUGCCCGUACCCUAUAACCGACACAGGUGGUCGAGUAGAGAAUACUAAGGUGAUCGAGAGAAUCGUGGUUAAGGAACUCGGCAAAAUGCCCCCGUAACUUCGGGAGAAGGGGGACCAUCCCGGUGAACCCAACUUGCUUGGGGAUGUGCUGGUGGUGGUCGCAGAGGCCAGAGAGAAGCGACUGUUUAUUAAAAACACAGGUCCGUGCGAAGAUGUAAGUCGAUGUAUACGGACUGACGCCUGCCCGGUGCUGGAAGGUUAAGAGGACCUGUUAACCCACUUUGUGGGUGAAGCGGAGAAUUUAAGCCCCAGUAAACGGCGGUGGUAACUAUAACCAUCCUAAGGUAGCGAAAUUCCUUGUCGGGUAAGUUCCGACCUGCACGAAUGGCGUAACGACUUCUCUGCUGUCUCAACCACGAACUCGGCGAAAUUGCAUUACGAGUAAAGAUGCUCGUUACGCGCAGCAGGACGGAAAGACCCCGAGACCUUCACUAUAGUUUGGUAUUGGGAUUCGGUGUGGUUUGUGUAGGAUAGGUGGAAGACGUAGAGGCCCUGACGCUAGUUGGGGUGGAGUCGAUCGGUGAAAUACCACUCUGACCAUAGUGGAUUCCUUAACUUCGGACCCUGAUCGGGUUCAGGGACAGUGCCUGAUGGGUAGUUUAACUGGGGCGGUUGCCUCCUAAAGAGUAACGGAGGCGCCCAAAGGUUCCCUCAGCCUGGUUGGCAAUCAGGUGUCGAGUGUAAGUGCACAAGGGAGCUUGACUGUGAGACGGACGUGUCGAGCAGGAGCGAAAGCUGGGACUAGUGACCCGGCCAUGGCUUGUGGAAGCGUGGUCGCUCAACGGAUAAAAGGUACCUCGGGGAUAACAGGCUGAUCUUGCCCAAGAGUCCAUAUCGACGGCAUGGUUUGGCACCUCGAUGUCGGCUCGUCGCAUCCUGGGGCUGGAGUCGGUCCCAAGGGUUGGGCUGUUCGCCCAUUAAAGCGGUACGCGAGCUGGGUUUAGAACGUCGUGAGACAGUUCGGUCCCUAUCCGCUGCGUGCGUAGGAAAUUUGUGGAGGUCUGUCCUUAGUACGAGAGGACCGGGACGGACGAACCUCUGGUGUGCCAGUUGUUCCGCCAGGAGCAUGGCUGGUUGGCUACGUUCGGGAUGGAUAACCGCUGAAAGCAUCUAAGCGGGAAGCCGGCUCCGAGAUGAGAUUUCCAACUGA